AGAUAAAAUUCAAUGGGCCAACUGUUAAAAAUCGGGAGAGCCAGUUUCUGUGAGCUGUCAAACAAAUUCUCUCAUCUGUGUUCUAAUCUUUGCCAACUUGAACUCGUCUAUUGGUAAUUAAUAAUCGGAGUUGGAGAAAGAGGCCUAAUAUUUUUUAAGAAUAUUGGAAUUGAUAAUAACAAUUAUGGACAAACAACUGAAAGAUAUAGACAAAUAUUAUACCAAUUUGGAAUAUGAUAAAAAUAUACUGCUAUGCAAGUACAAUGAAAUAUUUGCUUUAGCC